rnacentral:rRNA from 1 species
GUCCUUUUGAUUUUUAUAUAAGGUCUGACCUGCCCUAUGAAUAUUUAAAUGGCCGCGGUAUACUAACCGUGCAAAGGUAGCAUAGUCAUUUGUCUCUUAAUUGGAGGCUUGAAUGAAGGGUUGGACGAGAUAUAAGCUUUCUUUAUUAUAUUUUAUUGAAUUUGACUUUUGAGUUAAAAGGCUUAAAUUUUUUUAUAGGACGAGAAGACCCUAUAGAAUUUUAUAUAUUUGUGUAAUUGAUUUAUUUAUUUAUUAUUUAAUUUCUUGUUUAAAUAUAUUUUGUUGGGGCGAUGGGAAGAUUUUAAUAACUCUUUUUUGUUUUGAUCAUUGAUUUAUGUUUUAUUCUGAUCCUUUUUUAGAGAUUAUAAGAUUAAAUUACCUUAGGGAUAACAGCGUAAUUCUUUUGGAGAGUUCUUAUCGAUAAAAGAGUUUGCGA